rnacentral:rRNA from 1 species
UGGGGAAUAUUGCACAAUGGGCGCAAGCCUGAUGCAGCCAUGCCGCGUGUAUGAAGAAGGCCUUCGGGUUGUAAAGUACUUUCAGCGGGGAGGAAGGCGAUAAGGUUAAUACCUUGUCGAUUGACGUUACCCGCAGAAGAAGCACCGGCUAACUCCGUGCCAGCAGCCGCGGUAAUACGGAGGGUGCAAGCGUUAAUCGGAAUUACUGGGCGUAAAGCGCACGCAGGCGGUCUGUCAAGUCGGAUGUGAAAUCCCCGGGCUCAACCUGGGAACUGCAUUCGAAACUGGCAGGCUAGAGUCUUGUAGAGGGGGGUAGAAUUCCAGGUGUAGCGGUGAAAUGCGUAGAGAUCUGGAGGAAUACCGGUGGCGAAGGCGGCCCCCUGGACAAAGACUGACGCUCAGGUGCGAAAGCGUGGGGAGCAAACA